GUUCCGUACCCUUUCGAAGCCCGCGAUGCUCCUGGCCUUUCGCGGCGCAGAGGACGCUGCACGGCCUUAUGGGAAUUGCAGUGUCCAGAAGGAUUUCGGGGCUCGUGGCGGACUGGGCUAGUCCGGAUGUGAGUCUUUACCUGCAAGCCUGGCGCCGUUCGAACUGGAGACAGAGGCUGAGAGACAAAGGAAUCCACGCGACGGGCCGCCUGGAGAUGACUCCGGCUUCCGCCGCGGGGCAUUCAACCCCACCCCCUACCCUCCCGCAGAUCCAACCACUAGUGAAGUGGAGGAUGGACGUGAGACACUAGCGCCAUGAAAGGGGGCUUGGGAAAAGAACAGGAAAGGGAUGGAGCAGGAAUAGAAAAACCUGACGUGGGGACACUAUACUCGAGUGAGACUCCGGCUUGGACCUUGGGUUUUGUCGCACUCCCUCGCUGGGAGGUGGGAUGCGUGUGAAAAAGAAUGUAAUAAAUUCUACCGUUUUCUGAAGCA